UUUAAAUUCUGGAAUGAACAAAUAAUUCUAGUUUGUGGGUCAUGUUGAGGCAGGUCACGUCUCUUAUUUAUCACUCUCAUCUUCUUUUGAAAACUGCUGAGAGUCUGGACUAGGACUGUGUGAAAGCUGGGAGGGAGAGAGCUCCUGGGUUAGUGGAAGUCCUGAAGAGAAAGAUAAAUGGCAAGAAGCACUCUGAAUCCUACUCCUCCCUUGGAAAACCACUGCUGUGCUGAAGUGUCAGCAGCAAAACAAAGGAGAGAUCCUUCCAGAGAAAUCCAGCACAACUGGGCAUUCCCACUGCCCUCCAUGGGAAACUUCAUAACCCUGGCCCUUCUCUUGGUGACUGUUUGAUGGUUUUGUGGGGUGUUCCCAGCUGAGCCAUGGACAGUGUGUGCUGGCAUGUCCCCCAUGAGCAAAACUGAAGGGGGGAAAAAAAGUGGCAAAACAAAUUACCAUCAGAUCUUGUGUGGGAGUUAUUUUGAGCAUUAAAGAUGGAUAACCUGUCUUUUUGGGAGGAAGGCAGGGAAGGGAAGGCGGUGAGUUGAGUCGAGCAGCACUUGUGUUACAGGGAUCUGCAGCAUCAGGCUUUAAAACAACUCAUUAAAAUCCCGAUUUGAGCUGUGCCCACAGUGAUGGAGGAAAGGGCCUGCCCUGUUCCCACAUGCAGAUGGAGAUUUUCAGGGCUAGAGCUGAAACAUUUGUCAAGUGAGUGCAUGAAGCUGAAGGUUACCUGUAGGCAGCUGUUGCUCAGCCUGGGGGUGUUUAUAUGGCUAUUUAAUUGCAUGUUGCUCAGUACUAAAUGAGUGAGACUUACAUGAAUAGCCACAGCAACACAAGUGCUGCUGCCUCUGAGAUAAAGGAUCUUAUUUGAGAAACAAAUGCUUAACUAAUAAUACCCCAGGCCCUGUGCACUUUUAAAAGUCUGUACUUAUCUCUGAUAGGAAAGAAGUGGUCUAGUACUUAAAAAUAAACCAAAAGCAUUUGAAGGAUGUUUUUUUCCCCCCUC